rnacentral:lncRNA from 1 species
UGCAGGAGAGGGUGCAUGCUGGAGAAUAGGGAGGAUUCGGACUAGAAAGUAUGGGUGGACCAAGAUAUUCUACGUUUCCUAGCUGAGAUUUACCCCGGGGCAAGAAAAUGUCAGGGGUUGAAGCUGUUACUUCCUCUUCAAUUUCUUUGUGAAUGAGAGUGAAAACAGCACAACCAUGUGUGACUUCUCUCAUGAUGAUGACACAGCCAAGAUGAGACUUGUUUUAAGGAUCUGCUUCUGACGUUCAUCUCAAGGAGCCCUCUGAGGUGAAGGAAGAGGUCAUGGAGAGACAUGGGGAACCAAGUUACGGGGAAGCAGGAGUGGCAGAGGCAUAGGAAA